rnacentral:rRNA from 1 species
AGAGUUUGAUCCUGGCUCAGAUUGAACGCUGGCGGCGUGCUUAACACAUGCAAGUCGUGCGAGAAAGGGGGCUUCGGUCCCUGAGUAGAGCGGCGCACGGGUGAGUAACGCGUGGAUGAUCUACCCUUGAGUUCGGGAUAACGGGACGAAAGACCCGCUAAUACCGUAUAACAAUCCAUUUCAUCGUGGGUUCAAAGCAGGCCUCUCCAUGGAAGCUUGCGCUUGGGGAUGAGUCCGCGUCCCAUUAGCUAGUUGGCGGGGUAACGGCCCACCAAGGCAACGAUGGGUAGCUGGUCUGAGAGGAUGAUCAGCCACACUGGAACUGAAACACGGUCCAGACUCCUACGGGAGGCAGCAGUGGGGAAUAUUGCGCAAUGGGGGAAACCCUGACGCAGCGACGCCGUGUGAGGGAAGAAGGCCUUCGGGUCGUAAACCUCUGUCAGGAGGGAAGAACCACCAGGAGUCGAAUAGGCUCUUGGUCUGACGGUACCUCCAGAGGAAGCGCCGGCUAACUCCGUGCCAGCAGCCGCGGUAAUACGGAGGGCGCAAGCGUUAAUCGGAAUCACUGGGCGUAAAGCGCGCGUAGGCUGUUUGGUAAGUCAGACGUGAAAUCCCUCGGCUCAACCGGGGAACUGCGUUUGGUACUGCCGAACUCGAGUCCUGGAGAGGGUGGCGGAAUUCCUGGUGUAGGAGUGAAAUCCGUAGAUAUCAGGAGGAACACCGGUGGCGAAGGCGGCCACCUGGACAGGUACUGACGCUGAGGCGCGAAAGCGUGGGGAGCAAACAGGAUUAGAUACCCUGGUAGUCCACGCUGUAAACGAUGGAUGCUAGGUGUCGGGGAGCGAUCUUCGGCGCCGCAGCUAACGCAUUAAGCAUCCCGCCUGGGGAGUACGGUCGCAAGGCUGAAACUCAAAUGAAUUGACGG